UAUACGACCGUACCGCAAACCGACACUGGUGCGCGAGAUGAGUAUUCUAAGGCGCUUGAGAGAACUCAGGAGAAGGAACUCGGCAAAUUGACACCGUAACUUCGGAAGAAGGUGUGCCCUAUUAGUGUGUAGUGAACAACGAAGCAUGAAUGGGUUGCAAAAAAUCGGUGGCUGCGACUGUUUAUUAAAAACACAGCACUCUGCAAACACGAAAGUGGACGUAUAGGGUGUGACGCCUGCCCGGUGCUGGAAGAUUAAAUGAUGGGGUGCAAGCUCUUGAUUGAAGUCCCAGUAAACGGCGGCCGUAACAAUAACGGUCCUAAGGUAGCGAAAUUCCUUGUCGGGUAAGUUCCGACCUGCACGAAUGGCGUAACGAUGGCCACACUGUCUCCUCCUGAGACUCAGCGAAGUUGAAAUGUUUGUGAUGAUGCAAUCUCCCCGCGGAAAGACGGAAAGACCCCAUGAACCUUUACUGUAGCUUUGUAUUGGACUUUGAACAGAUCUGUGUAGGAUAGGUGGGAGGCUUUGAAGCAGGGUCGCUAGAUCUUGUGGAGCCAACGUUGAAAUACCACCCUGGUGUGUUUGAGGUUCUAACCUAGGUCCAUUAUCUGGAUCGGGGACAGUGCAUGGUAGGCAGUUUGACUGGGGCGGUCUCCUCCCAAAGCGUAACGGAGGAGUUCGAAGGUACGCUAGUUACGGUCGGACAUCGUGACGAUAGUGCAAUGGCAUAAGCGUGCUUAACUGCGAGACUGACAAGUCGAGCAGAUGCGAAAGCAGGACAUAGUGAUCCGGUGGUUCUGUAUGGAAGGGCCAUCGCUCAACGGAUAAAAGGUACUCUGGGGAUAACAGGCUGAUACCGCCCAAGAGUUCAUAUCGACGGCGGUGUUUGGCACCUCGAUGUCGGCUCAUCUCAUCCUGGGGCUGUAGCCGGUCCCAAGGGUAUGGCUGUUCGCCAUUUAAAGAGGUACGUGAGCUGGGUUUAAAACGUCGUGAGACAGUUUGGUCCCUAUCUUCCGUGGGCGCUGCAGAUUUGAGGAAGCCUGCUCCUAGUACGAGAGGACCGGAGUGGACACACCUCUGGUGUAUCGGUUGUCACGCCAGUGGCAUUGCCGAGUAGCUAAGUGUGGAAGAGAUAACCGCUGAAAGCAUCUAAGCGGGAAACUCGUUUCAAGAUGAGAUCUGCCGGGGCCUUGAGCCCCCUAAAGAGUCGUUCAAGACCAGGACGUUGAUAGGUCAGGUGUGGAAGCAAA
rnacentral:rRNA from 1 species